rnacentral:rRNA from 1 species
GAUGAACGCUGGCGGCGUGCCUAAUACAUGCAAGUCGAGCGAACGGACGAGAAGCUUGCUUCUCUGAUGUUAGCGGCGGACGGGUGAGUAACACGUGGAUAACCUACCUAUAAGACUGGGAUAACUUCGGGAAACCGGAGCUAAUACCGGAUAAUAUUUUGAACCGCAUGGUUCAAAAGUGAAAGACGGUCUUGCUGUCACUUAUAGAUGGAUCCGCGCUGCAUUAGCUAGUUGGUAAGGUAACGGCUUACAAAGGCAACGAUGCAUAGCCGACCUGAGAGGUGGUUCGCCCACUUUGGAAUGGGAAAACGGCCCAGACUCCUAGGGGAGCAAGAAGAAGGGAACCUUCGGCAUGGGGCGAAAGCCUGACGGAGCAACGCGGCGUGGGUGAUGAAGUUCUCCGGAUCGAAAAACCUUGUUAUUAGGGAAGAACAUAUGUGUAAGUAACUGUGCACAUAUUGACGGUACCUAAUCAGAAAGCCACGGCUAACUACGUG